UGACCUCAUCAUCCGUCCACCUCGGCCUCCCAAAGUGCUGGGAUUACAGGCAUGAGCCACCGCGCCCGGCCACAAACCUAGAGAAGAGAAAGGUUGAUGUAUAUUUUGAAGACGGAGAGGCUAACCAGAGUAUUCAGAGAUGAGUACUUUUGCCUGUCAUCGAGAAAGGUCAAGGGUAGGACCAGGUAAUUUAUCAUGGAGCAGUUUCCACCAUGCUGUUCUCGUGAUGAUCUUGGCUUGCAGUGAAUUUCUGCAUCAUUUCAGG
rnacentral:lncRNA from 1 species